rnacentral:lncRNA from 1 species
UUAAAUUUUAAAAAUUAAGUCAUGUAAAGUAAAUAACCCAGGGUUCAGUACAUAGUAAAAUCUCAACUGAUAAAUCCUAGCUAGACAACUAUUAUUUUAGAUAGAAAUGGAGAUAUCAGUUAAUUUUAAAGCAUAAUAUAGAUUCAUGUUUGAUGAUUUAUAUUUAGGAAUUAUUACUAUACUUGACAAAUACAAAAGAUGAUGAAAAUAUGAUGUUCUACAUUGAAUACAUGACACCAUUGUCAUGGAAAUGACCCAAGAGCCAGGAUCUGUGGUGGGUAAUGGGGAAGGGAACAUCGGAUUGUGUCUGUUACCCUCCUUCCAAAUUCUAGUAAGCAGCUCUCUUGAGGGACCCAAGAAGCUAUUCUGGAAUAAGGAACUAAAGAGACUGUAGUAUCCACAAGCAGAGAAGGGGACUUCUUUGGACUCACUUCAUAGAAUGGCUGUGUAACUCCAGUAGGAUAGAAACCUCUCCACAACUCCCUGCACCCUCUGCAAAGUCUUUUCUUUGACCCAAAAAGGGAAGGGACAGAAAGGGACUGGCAGUGCCUCUGAAUAGCUGCUCAUCCCAUUACACAACCUCAGCUGCUUUGGCUAGAUCUGCUCCUCCUUCCAGCAUUUCCUACUAUGGUAGGGGCCAUGUGAAAAGUGCAAGCCACCCGAAGUCCCAAGAUAGGCCUGUAAAUUCUUCCUUUUUAUCAUAAAGGGGGGUACCUUGUCAGAGCCCCUAUGGGUACAGAGUGAGAAUGAAGCCUGUUGUGGUUCAGGAAAAAAUAGAUUGUAAAGAAAUUGUAUGGAAACUUUUCCAGCCAAGGGCAGCUUAACAAGGAUGCACUCCUCACCAUGAAACUGUAACCAGAGUCAAAGCCCUCCCUAUGGUAUGUCAAACCAUGGCAAUUGCUCUAGCUACCAAGCUUGGGUGCCCCUAAUCAGCUGACCACAAAGCAUUCACUUGGCUUAUUAAAAGAGAGAGAGAGAGAGAGAGAGAGAGAGAGAGAUUUAAAAUAAACUAUAAGUAAACCCUCAUCCAACUUCCAGU